rnacentral:pre_miRNA from 1 species
AUAACAUCCGGACCGUCAUUCUACUGAGCAAUGUCUCCUGCUUGGGGAAGAUCUUCCCUUUAUCGU